ensembl:snoRNA
GUCUGGAGAUAAUGAUGGUUACAAGCACAUAUCUUAAUAUUGUAAUGUGGAAAUAUCUUUCACUGAAUCUCCCAUCC